GACAAUAGCUCCCGAAGAACAUUCUGGGAAAGGCUUCCUGACACCUUCUGCUUCGGAAUCACCAGGCUUCCUUUCGAGGCUUCAACUUUGUUUUUUUUUUUUUUUUUAAAAUGAGGAAGUCCUGGUAUGGGCGUCACCCGGAACUGACGGAAAACAGCCAGCCAUGCUACACAUCUAGCUACUAGGCCUGACUCUCCUAGUGUCUAUGAGACUACUGCAGUUAACCCUCUAGUCAAAUCUGGGUGCACACAACUCAUUUUCUCAAAAGACAUUUCUAGAAGCAGCCUGUCUAAAGUAGGAGAAACAUGUGCCUAGAAGCAGCGGUUCUGGGAAAGAAAACUUCCAAGGUUAUAUUUUCCUUCUGAGGAAGUGUCUCAUGGCCCGUGAAGGCUCCGCCUGCCCCAUCCUGCCCUCCAUCCGUCAUCAAAAGCCUCCAACAGUGCCCAGCUCAGUGGGAGGGGAAGAUUCCAGCCAGCACCUCUAAUCCUCACCAUAAGCUGUCUCUAGAUGAUGUAGGUGGUAUCUUUGCGGGAGUGGGGGUGGCGGUGGGGGAUAGGAGAUGGCUGACACAAGGGAGCAUUGCUCCCUUGGGAGAGCAAAGCUGAGGUGACAGCACUGUGAUUAGAGGUGGUUGCUCCACCAGGAAACACAAAACCAGGGGACAAGGUUUAUCUGUAUCUUUUUCUAGAAACCCCUGCCUUGAGUGCAGGGGGCAGGACUGCCACUGGCUUGCAGAGUGGACUGUUGUUUUUGGCUUUUUCCUCUUGCAGAGACAACGUGAGAAUUCUUUUUUGGGUACCAAGCAGGGAUGGUGGGAUUGCUCUAGGUGGGUGACUCCAACGGUUAUAGACUUUGUCCCCUGCUCCGUCUCCGAGAGAGGGAGCUUGCACCCUGCCGCCUUCUCAAAUAGGACUGCUUGAGUCCUGAUGGCAGAAGAGAAGCCUAGGGCAGCUUCCUCAUCUGCCUCUGAGUGGGGAAGUGGGAGGCACAGGAAGACUGUCUUUAUUUCUGAGUGAUCUUUAGUGCUACUUUUGGUAGAUUAUCCUUUCCCCCUGCAUCUUCUUUGGAUCAUUCUUAAAAAUUCCUGCUUCUAGCUGACUGGUUGGUGGAGAAGCUUCCUUAUGUCUUUCUUUUCUGUGCUGUGGUUUUCAGUGUGAGGGGGAGAUUGUCUUCACCUAGAGAAUGUGUGAUGACCAAAGAGAAACAGUCAAGGGGCCUUGGCUUGAAGUGUGAAAUUUGUUUGGGUUAGCAUUACCAGGGAAUCUCUGUGAUGCUUAUCAACCCAAGUCCCCCUUGCUCCAUGAGCUCCCCCAAGUCCUUGAAGGUUACUUACUGCUUAGCUGGUUUCGGAGUGAAAUGGGAAUUUGAAGUCGUAACUGGAUUUGUGAGUUGCAGCUUGCUGCUACAGUUGGCUUGACCACCAAUUAGUCCCAAUUUUCAAAUAUUGCUCUUUCUGGAACUUGAAGUACAGAUUUGUCUCGGGUAUCAUUUCCAGGCUUGCUCCUUCGUUUGUUUCUGUGUUAGUAUCCUAGACUUGCUGCCAACAGGUCUCUACAAAACAAACAGUUCCAGACAGCAUAAUUCUUCUCUCCUGGUUCUGGAGACCAGAAGUCCAAAAUCAAGGUACUGGCAGGGCCGGUGCCUUCUAGGAUCUUUGAAGGAGAGUUCAUGCCAGUUCUCCUUCCCAGCUUCUGGUGGCUGCAGUCUGUUGGGUCGCUCUCUUGGGCACGCAUUGCUUCAGUCUGCCCCUUUCCACUGCACAUGGUUCUCUUUUCUGUGUUUGUCUUUGUGUCCUCUUGCAAGGACAUCAACGAUUGCAUUUGGAGCCCAGCCUAACCCAGAUGCCUUCUCUAUCUAGCUAACUAUAACUGUAAUGACCUAGCUUCCAGAUAAAACUCUGGGGAACACAACUCUUUCGAGGGGUUGCUAUUGAGACCUUUGUAGCCUUUCUACCUUCAGACUUUCCCAUCUAGCCGCUUAGCCCCACAGGUUCAGUUGCUGUUUUUCUCAGACCUCGCUUAGCGAGGCACACCUCACCCUUGCUCCCCAAAGCCAUCAAAGGCUCCCACUGCUGACAGAAUAGAGUCCUACCUCUCUAGUUCAGUUUUAGGAGAUCCACCAUAGUCUGGUCCCAAUGAUGUUUUUGGCUGUGUCUUUAUGCUUCUACGCAUUAUCCUUCAGGUCCAUGGGAAAAGUCUUCUGCACUGUAGAUUUUGUUGUCUGGAUCAUGGACUCCAGACCCACACUCUGUCUGCUGCUUAGAUGCUUUCCUUGAAUGCCUGUGUCAUGGCUUUCUCAGGAGAACAUUUGUAAGCUGCUCUGAAUGUAGACUGACUGUUGAAUACUCUGCCUCAUUUCUUGUUUGAAGUGAUGCUCCAAAUGGAGUCUACAUUUUACCCGAAGCCCAUUUGUUAUACCUUCUUAGGUCCUUGGAUUUGGCCACAGUGCCUUGAAUCAUAUGAAAUUGGAAGCCAAGAGACACUGGGUGUAACAGACAAAGUAUCUGUGUGGGGAGCCACCACCUCUCCUCAUAGAAUCCUUAGCAACACUAGUAGCCAGAGUGAGGAUCAAGGAGGUAAAAAAGGAGAAGUAACAAAUUGAAGAACAUUAACACCUUUCAAUAUCAGCCCUGAUAGAUGCUCUGAAAACUUGAAAGUCACAAAGAGGCUUUUAACUUGUAGUGUUGGGAUAAGGCUCGGACUUCUGGCACGUGCGGCACCUAGCUAACCUAUAAUCCCUGCCCAAAAAGAUGCUUUUACUCUCAGGAUUGCUCUUAGUGUCUUUUGCUAGCUCUCAGUAAGCCCAGCGACUUUGGAAUCUUUGGUGCUACUUGAGCCCUUCCUUGCCAGGCUUUGGCAAUAGUUUUAAGAAUUGGAUGUAGAAACCCAGGCUAAUGCAAACACCUAGGUAAAACUACCUGUGUCCCCAAAUCAUUUAUGGAUAGUUUAUAUGAUGGUUUUGAUUUUGUCAAUUUGAAAGAACUUUGCACCUGUGCCUGCUUUCACCUUGCUAGAUUAUGGUAGAAACAGGAGACCCUGAAUUCCAUUAAAAAUUCUAUUUUCUUGGACCCACAACAGUUGCCUGCUGAUUUCCUGCCCUGUGGGCAUUUCAGCCUUCACUGCUCUGACACGAGAAGAGGUGUGCGAGGUGGAUUUUCCUGUCAGGGAGUCUUCACUGCUAUUUAUGUGUCUCCCACGGCAAUCUCAUUCCCGUUAGACCACAACAACAAUGGGAACAGCUGGAGUCCAAGUUUGUCCUGGCCAUCUGCAGAAAGAACAUGCCAGACUUUUGAGACUCAGAAAAGAGAGGAACCUGAGAAGGGCAUACUGUUGGUGAUUCCACCCUUAAACUUUGCUACCCCCACCCCCUCCCCAUUCAGCUUCCUGUUUCUAGAACCUUCCUUGAAACUUUAACAAAAGUACAAAGAGCAUGCCACACAAACGUAGAAGAUGGAACGGCCUUUCGACGACUUCGUGUUCUUGCUGGGGCUCAGAAUUACUCAUUAGGGCAAACCCCCUCAUACCAUGUGAGUUAACAGCCAGCCUGCUGUCAUUGCUCCAAAGAUCCAAGGUUGAAGUGGGUGUCCUUCACAGGGGCCGUCUGGAUCACCCCAACUCUAGCCUCACUUCUGAAACCAGGAAUCUGGUAUAUCUGUGCUUUCUUUUCCAACUAGACAGUGACUCGGUGGCUGGGGUAAAAGAACUCUGGAAAAAAAGUUUUGUUUGGAAUGGCAGGAGCUUCUAAACAGUCAGCUCCCUAUAAACAGGACAUCAGGCAUCCACUUUUCUUGAGUGCAUACAAAUAUUUGAUAAGAGGAUUCUGGCCCCACAGAGGGGUUGGGAGCAAGGGCUCCAUGCAGGAGACGGAGGAGUGGUGGGUGAGAAGCGUUAAUGCUGAUGGCAGGUUGCAGAAUAGAUGGAGGGAGAUGUGGGCACCUAUCUAUUGGCCACUGAUAAAGCCUCAAAACUAAAAUGGUCCUGCCCAAGUCUAGCUUAGCAAACCAGUAAGUUAAUUGGGGUUACUUAGAGAAGUUACUGGAAGGCAGCUGCCUCACCAGAAAGCCCAUGGCGGCAGGGACAUGGAGCCUGACUUGCAGGUACCCCUGGUGAAGGAAGUCUUCAUUUUACAGCACGCGUACCGCUCUUAGGACCUUGGGGAGGGUCCUGAUGAGCCUUACAAACUUCAUGAAUGUCCUGAGCAGUGUGAGUUCCUUUACCUUGCUGGGGGAGCUCCUUCUGCUCCUUUAGCCAAUAGCCUUUAAGAUACCAGCCCACUUGGGCUUGGGCUUGUUGGCUGAGUUGGGUGCCAGGUAAAGGAGUAAGUCACAAAGCAAUCCCACACCAGUUUGGAAUUAUGAUUAAUAAAAGGGUUAUUUAUUUAAAGGGAAAAACUUCCAGAUCACUGUCCUAGACAACAGACCUUUGCACAACUAGGAAAAGGAACCUGGUAGCCGGAAGCAGAUUCCGAAGCAAGAGAGAGAGUGUGCAUGGCUACCACUGCUUUUUCAAGCCAAAUAGACCACAUCCAAGUGGUCUGGUAUCUUAAAGGCUAUUGACUGAAGGAGCAGAAGGAGCUCCUGCAACAUUACCUUCCAGGUCUCAUGAGCCUCUCUCCUCCUUCCAAGAGGGAAUUCUUUGAAGGCAGCGAAACAGUUUCCCAAGGAAGAUGGCACACUUGUUUCUAAUGUCUGCCAGAAAAAAUGACCGUAAAGGAAAUGAACUGAAACCAUAGGAAUUUUCUCUCUUCCAGUCCCAGAGGUCAGAGGCAUGAGGCGCAUCUUCCUGGGACGACUUCCAAAUGUGAGCCAUACUGUGUUCCGUCAGGGGCUCCAACAUCCAAAUGUGAACCAUGCCAUGUUCCUUCAGGAGGCUUCAAGGGGGAAGCUUGCCAUCUUGCCCCAGUUUUUGAGGUCACCUGCAUCUCUUGGCUCCUGGUCCUUUACCCUUUUCAAAACCGGAGUAUUAGAUUUGUCUUUGAUUUCUUACUACUCCCUGGUAACCUCCUCUCCCUUUUGAGGGCUCCUGGAAUGACCAUGGGCUUAGCCUGCCCCAUCCCGAUAAUCUCCUGCUCUCAAGGUUUUCAGACAGGCCACUGAAAUUCUCCCCACUACUUCAGUUCUCCCUUGAUGCAGCAUACGCAUAGGUUCUGAGAGAAAGGACACACACAACUCUGGGUGGGAAACACCCUUUUACUGCGAGGGAGGCUCCCGAUGGCCAUUGUAGUGUCAUUAUCCUUGUUCGAUACAGACACUUGAGGAAACUUGACCUCAGACAGUUUAUGUGAAUUCCAACUGUUGGCUCCACAGGAGGAAAAAAAAAUGCCCCUGAGCCACUUGGGCCAUUUGCCACAAAGUAGCAAGCAAAACCCUGUCGGUAGGCUUGGGGCCUUUACCUUCCAGUUCACUUUGCUGUACCUGGGCCUCAUCCUUGUCCAGUCUUAAGGAAUAGUGCUACUCCACGGACUCAGAAUGGACUUGAUCCAGCCAUAAGGAAUAAAGAGUGCCUCUCCACGGACUCAGAAUGGAUUUGAUCCAGCCAUAAGGAAUGGUGCCUCUCCACGGACUCAGAAUGGACUUGAUCCAGUCAUAAGGAAUGGUGCCUCUCCACGGACUCAGAAUGGACUUGAUCCAGCUGUAAGGAGUUUUAUUGUUUGAACAAGGGCAUAGACUUUUAGAAUUAUACUUUUUGAGUGCCCAGUUGGGAACAUUGAACUUUAGUGAUCAAGAGCUCCAAAAGCCUGAGAUCCUGUAUGUUCCCCUUGAGAACUCUACAAAGAAGGCCUAAAGAGUGAGCACCCACAGCAAUCGUUUCUGCCUAAGUGGCUGCUGUAGGUUUUGCCAUAUGGUUACCAUGUUGGAUGAGGCUAGCCCCUAGAAUUAAAGAGGACUUUAGCCACUGGGUACUCAUAGUGAUGGAGCUGGCGACUCUGGUAUACAGUUCAACUCUUAAGACAGAAGGUGGUUCAGUGGGCAAUAAAGGAAAUCUUCCGGCAAGGUCAGUGACAGAGGGGAAGCCACAGGAAGACUUAGUGCAUGAUUGUUUUCUCUUGGAAAGAGCAAACCAUGAUAUGGGGAAACGUAUUCAGAGGAGGUGUCUGGAUUUCUUUUAGAAAGUUACCAGCUCUUAAGACAGAAGGUGGUUCAUUGGGCAAUAGAAGAAAUCUUCAGGCAAGGUCAACUGUCAGAGGGGAAGCCGCAGGAAGACUUUAGUGCAUGAUUUUUUCUCUUGGAAAGAGCAAAUCAUGAUCUGGGGAAAGAGAUUCCCAGAGGAGGCAUCCGGAUCUCAUUUUGAAAGCUAUCACCCUCUAAGUCAGCUUACCCUGUCAGCUGUCCAGCGGUUUACCCUACCCUCUGCAUUUAAAGAUGGAAGCUGGCCAAGGACAGGAUCUAAGGCCUUUUUUUGCUAGGAAAGUGAAUUCUUUAGAACUCUGAGAUGAAUCCAGUCUGUGAAGAAAGAUGAGGCACUGAGGAGAGAUUUUGGGGGCCACCGAGAAAGGCGGCUGGCCCUAAUUCCUGGAGGAGCAUCAUGAAGGGACGACGGGAGACUCAUGGAAAAGUCACUCUGGCAUAGUACUACAGAGUUUCCUUUCAGCCCCGCCAGCAACAGGCGGAAAGGGGAAUCCAGAUCCCGCCCCUAUGCCAAAUGAUGAACAAGCUGAAGCAAGACACCUGCAUCCAGCUGUAGCUUGGAGGCAGGUCCCGCGAGCAGAAGGCAACAGAAGGCAAAGCACAGUAGCUUCCGGCUUCUCCCUCCCACAGGUGUCUCCAAGGAGGCUUCACAAGGUGAUCCAUUCACAUGCAGAGAGUCCCAUAUACGAGUGCACAGUGUGAUUGCACACCCCGAAGAAAUGUGAUAGGCUUGGGGCCACAACAUGCUUCUGUGUUAUGUCAUACACAGUCACACACGUGUAGAGAGCAGCAACUGUGUUGAAAGCGGCAGCGAUGGAGAGCAACCAGGAAGAGAAUGGUUCAUGUUGAGGAUGGAUGGAUGGAUGGUUAUGGGAAGAUGCAAGAAGACCACACAAGGCGAUGGGAGCUUCCAGGGUUGUCGUUAACCCGGACCUUGCACCUGUCCCUGGCCUCUCCUCUUUCCAAUGGGAUGGGCUCAGCAAAUGCCUGGAAUGUCAGUAUAUUUGCCAAAUUAUUUGUGGUUAUUUUAGGACCAGAGCCCGCGAAACAUGAUUGGAAAGGACCCACAGUUGAGAGUCCACGGUGUCUUUCCCACAGGCACUCUGGUUUUCUCCCGAGCUGGGAAAGUGUCACUAGAGGAACGGUGACAAAUGAGAGCAAAAUACACUGAUACCCAUGUGUGAAAAUGUCACAACGAAACCCGACGCUUUGUAUUUGAACCCCCACGUUAAGGAACACGUAGUAAUGAAAUAAAUCAAACUGAGAAGAAUUAUUUUCUGCCUUCAGAGAUCUCUCGGCAUCCCCUCCUACGUUGUUCGCAUCCCUGCAGAGCGCAGGUAAAGGAGUGAAGGCA